AUACGUGUAGGGUGGAGACGCACAACCAUCGGACUGUGUAGCACAAGGCUUGUUUUAGACGCUUCAUCUCGUCCGCUACCGAUGGUCGAUUCCUCCUCCUGACAAAGCUUUUGCUGAAAAGGGUGUCUUAUGCCACCACAGCAAGCAGGAAACGUCGUCGCGACCCUCCGCCCCCUCUGGGCGAGGACCUCGCUAGACACUGGAGUGGCCAACCACUCCUGACGCGCCCUGACACCGACCGUGAGAAGUCGUGUGUGCCGAACGCCGUUUCCGGCAGCCCGGAAACCGA
rfam:Pseudomonas syringae pv. actinidiae ICMP 19096 scaffold838, whole genome shotgun sequence.